GGUUGCAUAGCGUGGUGUUUAUCACGUUCACCCUACACGCGAGAAAGCUCGCCAGUUCAAUCCUGGCUGCAAUCA